GUGCUUACUGUGUAGGUGCUAAACAAAACAGCACAGUCUCUGCCCUCUUAGAGAUACAUUCUAGUGGGUAGAGAUAAUGAACAAACACAUGAUAUAUAGUAUGUUAGACCGUGAAAAGUACAGUGGAGAGGGAAAAAAAAGAGGGCAGGUAGAAUGAGUGAGUACACUAUUAUAUAUGGGAUGGUGACGUAAGGCAUCACUGAGAAGGUGUUAUUUGAGCAGAGACCUGAAGGAUGAGAGGAAGUGGCCAUGCAGAUAUUUGGGGGAAGAAAUUUCCAAGCUGAAGGCACAAGUAAGUGCAAAGGCCCUUUUCUUAUUUUGUUCAUGCUGCUGUAACAGAACACCUAAGACUGAGUAAUUUAUAAAUAAUAAAAAUUUAUUGCUUACAGUUCUGGAGGUUGGGAAAUCCAAGAUCAAGGCUCCAGCAGAAUUCGUGUCUGGUGAGGGCUGCUCUCUGCUCCCAAGAUGGUGCCUUCUUGCUGUGUCCUCAUGUGGUAGAAGAGCCAAAGGGAAGAACUUUCUCCCUCAAGCCCUUUUAUGAGUGAGAAACUCAGUUCGUAUUAUCUACAACACAGGUAUGUAUUUGUUUGACUUUAGUAUGUACAUAAAAAUUUCGAAAUUGCUAACCCACACCCCUGUGAGAAACACAUUUUCUUGAGUUACUUUUUAAAAAGAUCACUGGCUGCUGUGUUGAGAACUACAGGGAGCAGGCCCCAAAUCAGUGGGAGCAGUUACGUGGUUACUCAGAUUAUUCAGGUUAGAGAUGGCAGUGGCUUGGACCAGAGCAAUGAUGGUUUAGAUCAGGGGUCCCCAACCCCCGGGCUGCAGACCAUUACCUGUCCUCAGCCUGUUAGGAACAGAGUCGCACAACAGGAGGUGAGUGACAGGUGAGGGAGCAUUACCGCCUGAGCUCUACCUCCUAUCAGAUUGGUGGUGGCAUUAGAUUCUCACGGGAGUGCAAACUCUAUUGUGAAUUUGCACGUGAGGGAUCUAGGUUGCGUGCUCCUUAUGAGAAUCUGACUAAUGCCUGAUGAUCUGAGAUGGAACAGUUUCAUCCCGAAACCAUCCCCCUCACCCCACCCGUCCAUGGAAAAAUUGUCUUCCACUAAAUCGGUCUCUGGUGCCAAAAUGGUUGGGGACUGCUGGUUUAAAUGGUGAGGCAUGGUCAGAUUCCGGAUGUUUUGAAAAUUGAACCCAUAGUAUUAAACUGACGAAUUAGAUAUAAGAUGUAAGAUAAAGAAUCAAGGAUAAUGCCAAUUUUUGCCUGAGCAAUUGGAAUAAUGGAGUUGCCAUUAACAGAAGAGAUUCAAGUUCUGGGAGAAAGACUGGUUUUGGUCAUUUUAAGUUUUAGACGUUUAUUAGAUAUUCAAGUGCAGAUAGAUGCCCAGUUAUCCACAGGCAGCUGAAUAUAUCAGUCAAGCAUUUAGGAGAGAUCUGGAUUGGACACAAACAUUUAUGAGUUAUCAGUGUAUAGAUGGUGGUUGUAGGAGUGGUCAGUGCCCUGCCUAUAUCCUAUGAUCCUAGGAACUGCCAGUGUGCUCCUGCCAACUUUCAGCUGCUGCUGCUUUUUUUUUUUUUUUUUUUUUGUCUUUUUAGACAGGGUCUCACUCUGCCACCCACCCAGGCUGGGGUGCAGUGGCACAAAUCACAGCUCACUGCAGCCUUGAACCCUCAGACUCCAGGGAUCCUAUCUCAGCCAAGUAGCUGAGACUACAGGUGUGCACCACCAUGCCUUGCUAAUUUUUUAAAAAUUUUAUGUAAAGAUGGGAUGUCACUAUGUUGCUCAGACUUUCUUUUUAAACUGUGGAAAGCAGCUGUGUCGGUACACAUGGCAAGCCAGUAACUAACAUUAAACUUUUCAUUGGCUGCUUUCUCUUUCAUACACAAUUUCCCCAAUUUCCUACUGAUUACUUUCACGUGAAGCAUUGUUUUACGCUCUGCUUCUGGGAGAACCCAAACUAAGAUAAUUUAAAGCUAUGAGACUGGAUGAGAUCACCAAAUAAGUGAGCACAGAGAAGAAAAGAGGUGCAGACUCUGAGUACUAAAACCUGUGACAUUGAGGGGCCAGGGAAAUGAGGAGGAAACAGCAAAGGAAACGGGAUGUGCAGGUGUUGCAGGGAGGAGGCAGAGCUGGAUUCCAGUAGGGCUGGGGAUUGUCGGGACAGUUUGAGUACAAUGCAGUGGAGGGUGACAUAAUGAUGAGCCAUGGAAUUUAAGUUGAAUAAGGAGAGAAGUACAGGCAUCAGGGAAACAACCUGUGAAAAAGCCAUAGAAUCAAUGGAUUGAAAUCUCAGUGGGGUCAAAGAAUUGCUGGGGUUGAGGACCACAGGAAAAUUGUAGACACCAUGGGGUUAUUGGAGAGUGAGAUGCUUAAAACUGAGAUUUUGGAGGGGUGCAGUUAUUGUUAUUAAAAGGACGGGGCUCUAGAAUAAGACCAUAGAACUGAGUAUCUUCUCACUGGAGGAAACAAAAAGGGGCUGAGGGAGGCCAAGGUAGGCAGAUCACUUGAGGCCAGACGUUCAAGACCAGCCUGGCCAACAAGGCGAAACCCUGUCUCUACUAAAAUACAAAAAUUAGCCUGGUGUGGUGGUACAUGCCUGUAAUCCUAGCUACUUGGGAGGCUGAGGCAGGAGGAUUGCUUGUAUCAGGGAGGCAGAGGUUGCAGUGAGCUGAGAUGGUGCCAUUGCACUCCAGCCUGGGUGACAGAGCAAGACUCCACCUCAAAAAAUAAAAAAGACUGAGAGGCCAAGGAGUUGUAUUAGACCAUCACUUGGAUAUUGAAAUCAGCAAUGAUUAUUAGUAAUGGGGUGACACUGAACCGGGAGCUAAACUCUUCAACAAAUAAGAGGGAGUGACCAAGCUGGGAAUGAAAGAUAACUGCAACAAGAGUGAAAUGAAGACAGCUUUUUCUUGAACACUUACACAGUAUUUAGUAGGUGGCAAGCAGUUCUAAGCAGUUUGUAAAUAAUGUCAUUCAAUCUUCAUAA
rnacentral:lncRNA from 10 species